rfam:Stegodyphus mimosarum contig92996, whole genome shotgun sequence.
GCCUCUGUGGUGUAGUGGUUAGCACGCUGGGCGCAUAUUCCAGAGGUCCGUGGUUCGAGUCCCGGCGAAGGCG